GGGGCUCGUUGUCCUUCAGGUGUCCGCUGGGAACCAUUAAAUCGAUCUUGUUGCAAAAAUCAGAGUAGCAGCAGUGGGUGUUCCGCAGGUCCUCGGAGCUCAGGCAGUAGAAGGGUUUCCCAGCAGGGAUCAGUUUGGCUUCGGGGAUGCAGGUCCGCACGUGGUGCUUCACCCCAUCCAGGUUGAAGACGGACACCAUGCAGGCGCCGUCCGUCUCGCAGGUGGAGUUGGCUUGCUUGCAGUCAGAGCACAGACAUGUCAGAGCUGCAAAACAGAGCGGGAGCAAACCCUUAACGUCCAACAGAGACCAAGCAUGCAAGGCAAGGGCAACUUGCUGCCUUUAUUUUCCCACUUGGGAGGGUCAUCUCUACCUCAAUGCCUGGGAGGUGCAGGCCUAGCUGGUGGUGGAGGGGCUCAUGUUUGAUGGUCCAUGGGUGAGAGCCCACAAAGCAGAACGAAACGCAAUCAGAGCCUUCCCAGCAGGUGCUGCCAGCCCUCCUCACAGCCACCACCAGAGCCGACCCAACAGCCCCGCAAGGAUGUUUGGCCCACGCCAACCCCAGCGCCACUCAAACCGGCGCUGCGAGCCGAGCGUGCUCCACCCAGACAGCUCAGGGGCUCCUUUAGGAACUCCCUUCCUGGUGUGAGAUGCAGCUUUGGGUCACACACAUCCCUGCCCUCCUGCCUGCUCACCACGAGCAUCGUUUGGGUGCAGAGCGAAGAAGCCCCAGGAUGGGCCCCCACCUUUCCAGCCCCG
rnacentral:lncRNA from 1 species